rnacentral:rRNA from 1 species
GUCCACGCCGUAAACGAUGAGUGCUAAGUGUUGGAGGGUUUCCACCCUUCAGUGCUGCAGCUAACGCAUUAAGCACUCCGCCUGGGGAGUACGACCGCAAGGUUGAAACUCAAAGGAAUUGACGGGGGCCCGCACAAGCGGUGGAGCAUGUGGUUUAAUUCGAAGCAACGCGAAGAACCUUACCAGGUCUUGACAUCUAGUGCAAUCUGUAGAGAUACGGAGUUCCCUUCGGGGACGCUAAGACAGGUGGUGCAUGGCUGUCGU